rnacentral:rRNA from 1 species
GAUGAACGCUGGCGGCGUGCCUAAUACAUGCAAGUCGAGCGAACGGACGAGAAGCUUUCUUCUCUGAUGUUAGCGGCGGACGGGUGAUUAACACGUGGAUAACCUACCUAUAAGACUGGGAUAACUUCGGGAAACCGGAGCUAAUACCGGAUGAUAUUUUGAACCGCAAUGUUCAAAAGUGAAAGACGGUCUUUCUGUCACUUAUAGAUUGCUCCGCCCUGGAUUAGCUAGUUGGUAAGGUAACGGCUUAGCAAGGCAACGAUGCAUACCCGACCUGAGAGGGUGGUCGGACAGACGGGAACUGAGACACGGUCCAGACUCCUGCGGGAGGACGCAGUAGGGAAUCUUACGCGAUGGGCGAAAGCCUGACGGAGCAACGCCGCGUGAGGGAUGAAGGUCUUCGGAUCGGAAAACUCUGUUAUUAGGGAAGAAGAAAUGUGUAAUUAACUGUGAAGAUAAUGACGGUACCUAAUGAGAAAGCCACGGCUAACUACGUG